rnacentral:rRNA from 1 species
UACGGAGGGUGCAAGCGUUAAUCGGAAUUACUGGGCGUAAAGCGCGCGUAGGCGGUUUUUUAAGUCGGAUGUGAAAGCCCCGGGCUCAACCUGGGAACUGCAUCCGAUACUGGAAGACUAGAAUGCGGGAGAGGGAGGUAGAAUUCCAUGUGUAGCAGAGAAAUGCGUAGAUAUAUGGAGGAAUACCAGUGGUGAAGGCGGCCUCCUGGCUCGACAUUGACGCUGAGGUGCGAAAGCGUGGGGAGCAAACGGG